rnacentral:rRNA from 1 species
UACGGGGGGAGCAAGCGUUGUUCGGAUUUACUGGGCGUAAAGGGCGCGUAGGCGGCACCGCAAGUCAGUUGUGAAAUCUCUGGGCUUAACCCAGAAAGGUCAACUGAUACUGCGGGGCUAGAGUGCAGAAGGGGCAACUGGAAUUCUCGGUGUAGCGGUGAAAUGCGUAGAUAUCGAGAGGAACACCUGCGGCGAAGGCGGGUUGCUGGGCUGACACUGACGCUGAUGCGCGAAAGCUAGGGGAGCGAACGGG